rnacentral:rRNA from 1 species
AAAGAAGAGGUAUCUUAAUCGAAGAGGGCUGGAACGCCCUACCAUAGAAGGUAAUAGUCCUGUAGGUAAAAAGAGAAAACUUCGAGAUCUAAUCCAGAGUACCACGAGACACGUGAAACCUUGUGGGAAGCAGGGAGGACCACCUCCCAAGGCUAAAUACUACCUAGUGACCGAUAGUGAAGCAGUACCGUGAGGGAAAGGUGAAAAGAAC